rnacentral:rRNA from 1 species
UGGGGAAUAUUGGACAAUGGGCGAAAGCCUGAUCCAGCGAUGCCGCGUGAGUGAAGAAGGCCUUAGGGUUGUAAAACUCUUUCACUGGUGACGAUGAUGACGGUAGCCAGAGAAGAAGCCCCGGCUAACUCCGUGCCAGCAGCCGCGGUAAUACGGAGGGGGCUAGCGUUGUUCGGAAUUACUGGGCGUAAAGCGCAUGUAGGCGGCGUAUCAAGUCGGGGGUGAAAGGCCUGGGCUCAACCCAGGAACUGCCUUCGAUACUGAUGUGCUGGAGUCCGGGAGAGGGUAGCGGAAUUCCCAGUGUAGAGGUGAAAUUCGUAGAUAUUGGGAAGAACACCGGUUGCGAAGGCGGCUACCUGGCCCGGUACUGACGCUGAGGUGCGAAAGCGUGGGGAGCAAACAGGAUUAGAUACCCUCGUAGUCCCUGAGCGGGCUGGCAAGGCGCAU